rnacentral:rRNA from 1 species
UACGGAAGGUCCGGGCGUUAUCCGGAUUUAUUGGGUUUAAAGGGAGCGUAGGCCGGAGAUUAAGCGUGUUGUGAAAUGUAGACGCUCAACGUCUGCACUGCAGCGCGAACUGGGGGGCUUGAGUGCGCCGGAGGUAGGCGGAAUUCGUGGUGUAGCGGUGAAAUGCUUAGAUAUCACGAAGAACUCCGAUUGCGAAGGCAGCUCACUGGAGCGCAACUGACGCUGAAGCUCGAAAGUGCGGGUAUCGAACAGG